rnacentral:misc_RNA from 1 species
AAAUAAAACAAAUUAGAAUAAAAUAAAAGAAAGCAGAAAAAAGGGAAUGAGAUCCUGCUGUGUUUGUGCAGUCAGAGUCAGAAGGACUAGGUGUAAUUUGAUUAUAAGAUCUGCUUGGCACGGUACAUAAUGUUGUUGAAUGAAUGAAAAGUUACUGAUUCCUUUUAAUAUAAUAAUAAUUAUUAUGUUAAGAAGGAUUCUUG